UGAUGAUGAUGAUUGUUUGAUGAUGGUGGUGAGGAUGAAGAUGAUGAUGAUGAUUAUUUUCAUCAUCAUCAUCAUUGUCAUCAUCAUCAUCGUCCUCG
rnacentral:pre_miRNA from 1 species